AAAUUUAAAAAAAAACUUUUUUAAAAAUAAAAAUUGAAUUUUUUUUAAUUUGUGCAAAAACAAUUAUUAUUAUUAAAGACAAGAAGACCCUAAGAAUUUAUGAUUUUGCAAUUAGAAUUUUUUUCAAAAAAUCUUGAUUGGGGCGAUCAAAAAAUAUUAAUAACUUUUUAAAUUUAAAUUGAUCUAUUAUUAAUAAACUAAUGAAUUAAAUACUCUAGGGAUAACAGCGUAAUAAUUUUUGAUAGAUCUUAUUGACAAAAUAGUUUGCGACCUCGAUGUUGGAUUAGGAUCCUUUUUUAAUGAAGAAGUUAAAAAAAGAAGUUUGUUCAACUUUUAAAUUCCUACUUGAUCUGAU
rnacentral:rRNA from 1 species